GAUGAACGCUGGCGGCAGGCCUAACACAUGCAAGUCGAGCGGACAGACGAGGAGCGCUGUCCUCUGCCGUUGGCGGCGGACGGGUGAGUAACACGUAGAUAACCUACCUAUAAGACUGGGAUAACUACGGGGAACCGGAUCCAAUAUCGGAUCAUAUGUUGAACCGGAGGGUUCAUUGGAGCUAGAGGGUUUUGCUGUUCCUAAUAGAUGUAUCCGCGUUGGUUUAUUGAGUUGGUAAGGUACCGGCUAACCAACGCGACGAUGCGUAGCUGAGCGGAGAGGAGGAUCAGCCAAAAUGGAACUGAGACAAGGUCCAGACUCCUACGGGAGGCAGGAGUGGGGAAUAUUGGACAAUGGGCGAAAGCCUGAUCCAGCCAUGCCGCGUGGGUGAAGAAGGGCUUCGGAUUGUAAAGCCCUUUUGAUGGGGAAGAAAAGAAGCAGGUUAAUACCGUGCUGUUCUUACGGUACCCAAAGAAGAAGCACCGGCUAACUUCGUG
rnacentral:rRNA from 1 species